GAAAGAAAACUUGUUAUGUAUGCUACAUUCAUAAUAUAUGUUUCCAAGAAAAAAGAGGGAACAAGACUAGUAUAUAUAAAAUAUUAUAAUGCAGCAUGAGGUGGCCAUUGACAUACCAUUACAGAUUUUGCGAUAUCCUCCUUGAUAGAUGAACACACAUCUUUCCAAUUUCUAACUCCAAUUAGUGGAGCCUUCUGCUUUGUAUACAGAACAACCUCAUCCACAAAGGUACGUCUAUUAUCUCCACAGGGACCACCUACUUUUUCGGAAAAUUCGAUUUUCAGUUUAUUCUCCAAGCCACUCUUCGAUCUCUUGGCCACCACAGCUAGCCCUUUCAAGCAUCCUCGGCCAACUUUCUUCCCA
rnacentral:lncRNA from 1 species